GACGAACGCUGGCGGCGUGCCUAAUACAUGCAAGUAGAACGCACAGUUUAUACCGUAGCUUGCUACACCAUAGACUGUGAGUUGCGAACGGGUGAGUAACGCGUAGGUAACCUGCCUGGUAGCGGGGGAUAACUAUUGGAAACGAUAGCUAAUACCGCAUAAUAUUAAUUAUUGCAUGAUAAUUAAUUGAAAGGUGCAAUUGCACCACUACCAGAUGGACCUGCGUUGUAUUAGCUAGUAGGUGAGGUAACGGCUCACCUAGGCGACGAUACAUAGCCGACCUGAGAGGGUGAUCGGCCACACUGGGACUGAGACACGGCCCAGACUCCUACGGGAGGCAGCAGUAGGGAAUCUUCGGCAAUGGACGGAAGUCUGACCGAGCAACGCCGCGUGAGUGAAGAAGGUUUUCGGAUCGUAAAGCUCUGUUGUAAGAGAAGAACGAGUGUGAGAGUGGAAAGUUCACACUGUGACGGUAUCUUACCAGAAAGG
rnacentral:rRNA from 1 species